rnacentral:snoRNA from 1 species
UUUUGCAUGAUUAUAAAAGCAAUCAUUUUAGUCUGAGGUGUACAUGCAGGACUUUAUUGUUAUUUAGGAAUUCUUCGUUUAUGACCUAGAA